rnacentral:rRNA from 1 species
AGAGUUUGAUCGUGGCUCAGGACGAACGCUUGCGGCGUGCCUAAGAAAUGCAAGUCGAGCGGGGUUAUACGCUGAUUGAAGCUUCGGCAGAGGUCUUGUAUAAUCUAGCGGCGAACGGUCGCGUAACACGUAAGCAACCUGCCCCGAAGUGUGGGAUAGCCCUCCGAAAGGAGGAGUAAUACCGCAUGUGGACAUUUUCACGCAUGAGAAGAUGUCUAAAGCAGCAAUGCGCUUCGGGAUGGGCUUGCGGCCUAUCAGCUAGUUGGUGGGGUAAAGGCCUACCAAGGCGACGACGGGUAGCUGGUCUGAGAGGACGAUCAGCCGGAUUGGGACUGAGAUACGGCCCAGACUCCUACGGGGGGCAGCAAUUAGGAAUCUUGCACAAUGGGGGAAACCCUGAUGCAGCGACGCCGCGUGAAUGAUGAAGUCUUUCGGGAUGUAAAGUUCUGUCCUACAGGGAAGAAGAAUGUGACGGUACCUGUAGAGAAAGCCCCGGCUAACUACGUGCCAGCAGCCGCGGUAAUACGUAGGGGGCGAGCGUUGUCCGAAUUUAUUGGGCGUAAAGCGCGUGUAGGCGGCUCUUUAAGUCAGAUGUGAAAUCCUGCGGCUCAACCGCAGAACUGCAUUUGAUACUGGAGGGCUUGAGUGUGGGAGAGGAAAGUGGGAUUCCUGGUGUAGCGGUGAAAUGCGUAGAUAUCAGGAGGAACACCCGUGGCGAAGGCGGCUUUCUGGGCCCACCACUGACGCUGAGACGCGAAAGCUAGGGGAGCGAACGGGAUUAGAUACCCCGGUAGUCCUAGCCGUAAACGAUGGAUACUAGGUGUUAGAGGUAUCGACCCCUCUAGUGCCGUAGCUAACGCAUUAAGUAUCCCGCCUGAGUAGUACGGCCGCAAGGUUGAAAACUCAAAGGAAUUGACGGGGGCCCGCACAAGCGGUGGAGCAUGUGGCUUAAUUCGUCACUAACCGAAGAACCUUACCAGGGUUUGACAUCUGCUGUAAGUCCAUGAAAGUGGUACCCCCUGUAGCAAUACAGGCUGCAAGACAGGUGUUGCAUGGCUGUCGUCAGCUCGUGUCGUGAGAUGUUGGGUUAAGUCCCGCAACGAGCGCAACCCUCAUCAGAUGUUGCCAGCGUAAAGUCGGGAACUCUUCUGAAACUGCCCGUGUAAGCGGGAGGAAGGUGAGGAUGACGUCAAGUCGGCAUGGCCCUUACGCCCUGGGCUGCACACAUGCUACAAUGGUUGUUAACAGAGGGACGCAAUGUCGCGAGGCGGAGCUAAUCUCAAAAAUACAGCCUCAGUUCGGAUUGCAGUCUGCAACUCGACUGCAUGAAGUCGGAAUCGCUAGUAACCGCAGGUCAGCUAAACUGCGGUGAAUACGUUCCCGGGCCUUGUACACACCGCCCGUCAAGUCACCUGAGUCUGCUGCACCCGAAGUCAGUGGCCUAACCCGCAAGGGAAGGAGCUGCCGAAGGUGUGGCCGGUAAGGGGGACUAAGUCGUAACAAGGUAGCCGUAUCGGAAGGUGCGGCUGGAUCACCUCCUU